rnacentral:rRNA from 1 species
AGUGAACGCUGGCGGUAGGCCUAACACAUGCAAGUCGAACGGCAGCACAGUAAGAGCUUGCUCUUACGGGUGGCGAGUGGCGGACGGGUGAGGAAUACAUCGGAAUCUACUUUUUCGUGGGGGAUAACGUAGGGAAACUUACGCUAAUACCGCAUACGACCUACGGGUGAAAGCAGGGGAUCUUCGGACCUUGCGCGAUUGAAUGAGCCGAUGUCGGAUUAGCUAGUUGGCGGGGUAAAGGCCCACCAAGGCGACGAUCCGUAGCUGGUCUGAGAGGAUGAUCAGCCACACUGGAACUGAGACACGGUCCAGACUCCUGCGAGGGGCAGCAGUGGGGAAUAUUGGACAAGGGGCGCAAGCCUGAUCCAGCCAUACCGCGUGGGUGAAGAAGGCCUUCGGGUUGUAAAGCCCUUUUGUUGGGAAAGAAAAGCAGCAGGUUAAUACCCCGCUGUUCUGACGGUACCCAAAGAAUAAGCACCGGCUAACUUCG